rnacentral:rRNA from 1 species
CUACGGGGUGCUCCAGUAAGGAAUAUUGGGCAAUGGACGGAAGUCUGACCCAGCCAUCCCGCGUGCAGGAAGAAUGCCCUAUGGGUUGUAAACUGCUUUUGUUUGGGAAGAAAUGUACUUUUUCAAGAGUAUUUGACGGUACCAGACGAAUAAGCGCCGGCUAACUCCGUGCCAGCAGCCGCGGUAAUACGGAGGGUGCAAGCGUUAUCCGGAAUCACUGGGUUUAAAGGGUGCGUAGGCGGCCAGAUAAGUCAGAGGUGAAAGUUUCCGGCUCAACCGGGAGAUUGCCUUUGAUACUGUUUGGCUUGAAUCAGAUUGAGGUUGGCGGAAUGUGACAUGUAGCGGUGAAAUGCAUAGAUAUGUCAUAGAACAUCGAUUGCGAAGGCAGCUGGCUGGAUCUGUAUUGACGCUGAGGCACGAAAGCGUGGGGAGCAAACAGGAUUAGAUACCCCUGUAGUC